rnacentral:rRNA from 1 species
CACGUAGGCACCAAGCGUUGUCCGGAUUUAUUGGGCGUAAAGAGCUCGUAGGCGGUUCGGUAAGUCGGGUGUGAAAACUUUGGGCUCAACCCAAAGCCUGCACCCGAUACUGCUGUGACUCGAGUCCGGUAGGGGAGUGGGGAAUUCCUGGUGUAGCGGUGGAAUGCGCAGAUAUCAGGAGGAACACCGGUGGCGAAGGCGCCACUCUGGGCCGGUACUGACGCUGAGACGCGAAAGCGUGGGGAGCGAACAGG